CUCCAGCUCGACCGGGACACCGAGCCCCCGUCUUCCACUGGUUCCUUUUUUACAGAAAUACGCCAACGUCAGCAACAAGAAGCAUUCUGUGUUGAAGCUGGACCGAAGGAGAUCCGGGAGCAGCAGGAUCUACUUUCCGCUUCAUGAACUUCCUGAAGCAGGAAGGAGCCGUGCAUGAUGCUGCAGUUCUGCCUCACCGUGGAGGAGUUCAACGAUAAGAUCUGAGUCCUGAUUCUGGAGUGACUCUGAGCAGCAGCGUAUUGCACGAGAGGUCGUUCACAUCUACGAGACGUACUGCCUCGAGGAGAGCAUCGACAAGAUCAGCUGUCGACCCCUUCAUCGUGGACGAGAUCAGGGAACUUGCUAUAGGUCCGUACGGGCGGCGUGGUGAAGCUGCAGAAGAUGCACUGCCUGUUUAAGCGUACGAACACGUGCUGUCUCUGCUGGGAGAGGUCUUCCCCCCAUGUUCGCCCACAGUGA